CCAAAAGCUGGCGACCGGCGCACGGGUGAGUAACACGUAUCCAACCUGCCUCAUACUCGGGGAUAGCCUUUCGAAAGAAAGAUUAAUAUCCGAUAGCAUAUAUUUCCCGCAUGGGUUUUAUAUUAAAGAAAUUCGGUAUGAGAUGGGGAUGCGUUCCAUUAGUUUGUUGGGGGGGUAACGGCCCACCAAGACUACGAUGGAUAGGGGUUCUGAGAGGAAGGUCCCCCACACUGGGACUGAGACACGGCCCAG
rnacentral:rRNA from 1 species